GACUUCAUGGUGUAGUGGAAUCACAAUCUGUCUAACACACAGAAGGUCCCCAGAUCGAAACUGGUGAAGUCA
rnacentral:tRNA from 1 species